GGGCAUCGGGAGGGAAGCUUGCUUUCCUUGCCGGCGACCGGCGCACGGGUGAGUAACACGUAUGCAACCUGCCCUCUUCAGGGGGACAACCUUCCGAAAGGGAGGCUAAUCCCGCGUAUAUCGGUUUCGGGCAUCCGAGAUCGAGGAAAGAUUCAUCGGAAGAGGAUGGGCAUGCGGCGCAUUAGCUAGACGGCGGGGUAACGGCCCACCGUGGCGACGAUGCGUAGGGGUUCUGAGAGGAAGGUCCCCCACACUGGUACUGAGACACGGACCAGACUCCUACGGGAGGCAGCAGUGAGGAAUAUUGGUCAAUGGGAGAGAUCCUGAACCAGCCAAGCCGCGUGAGGGAAGACGGCCCUAUGGGUUGUAAACCUCUUUUGUCGGAGAACAAAACCCGGGACGUGUCCCGGACUGCGUGUAUCCGAAGAAAAAGCAUCGGCUAACUCCGUGCCAGCAGCCGCGGUAAUACGGAGGAUGCGAGCGUUAUCCGGAUUUAUUGGGUUUAAAGGGUGCGUAGGCGGUCUGUUAAGUCAGCGGUAAAAUUGCGGGGCUCAACCCCGUCGAGCCGUUGAAACUGGCAGACUUGAGUUGGCGAGAAGUACGCGGAAUGCGCGGUGUAGCGGUGAAAUGCAUAGA
rnacentral:rRNA from 1 species